GGGGGAUAUUGCGCAAUGGGGGCAACCCUGACGCAGCAACGCCGCGUGAAGGAUGAAGGUUUUCGGAUUGUAAACUUCUUUUAUUAAGGACGAAAAAUGACGGUACUUAAUGAAUAAGCUCCGGCUAACUACGUGCCAGCAGCCGCGGUAAUACGUAGGGAGCAAGCGUUGUCCGGAUUUACUGGGUGUAAAGGGUGCGUAGGCGGCUUUGCAAGUCAGAUGUGAAAUCUAUGGGCUCAACCCAUAAACUGCAUUUGAAACUGUAGAGCUUGAGUGAAGUAGAGGCAGGCGGAAUUCCCCGUGUAGCGGUGAAAUGCGUAGAGAUGGGGAGGAGCACCAGUGGCGAAGGCGGCCUGCUGGGCUUUAACUGACGCUGAGGCACGAAAGCGUGGGUAGCAAACAGGAUUAGAUACCCUGGUAGUCCACGCUGUAAACGAUGAUUACUAGGUGUGGGGGGUCUGACCCCUUCCGUGCCGGAGUUAACACAAUAAGUAAUCCACCUGGGGAGUACGGCCGCAAGGUUGAAACUCAAAGGAAUUGACGGGGGCCCGCACAAGCAGUGGAGUAUGUGGUUUAAUUCGAAGCAACGCGAAGAACCUUACCAGGUCUUGACAUCCAACUAACGAAGUAGAGAUACAUUAGGUGCCCUUCGGGGAAAGUUGAGACAGGUGGUGCAUGGUUGUCGUCAGCUCGUGUCGUGAGAUGUUGGGUUAAGUCCCGCAACGAGCGCAACCCUUGCUAUUAGUUGCUACGCAAGAGCACUCUAAUAGGACUGCCGUUGACAAAACGGAGGAAGGUGGGGACGACGUCAAAUCAUCAUGCCCCUUAUGACCUGGGCUACACACGUACUACAAUGGAUGUUAACAGAGGGAAGCAAGACAGCGAUGUGGAGCAAACCCCUAAAAACAUUCUCAGUUCAGAUUGCAGGCUGCAACCCGCCUGCAUGAAGAUGGAAUUGCUAGUAAUCGCGGAUCAGCAUGCCGCGGUGAAUACGUUCCCG
rnacentral:rRNA from 2 species